rnacentral:rRNA from 1 species
UACGUAGGGGGCAAGCGUUGUUCGGAAUUACUGGGCGUAAAGCGUGCGCAGGCGGUUUGUAAGUUUGUCGUGAAAGCCCCGGGCUCAACCUGGGAAUUGCGAUGAAGACUGCAAGGCUUGAAUCUGGCAGAGGGGGGUAGAAUUCCACGUGUAGCAGUGAAAUGCGUAGAGAUGUGGAGGAACACCGAUGGCGAAGGCAGCCCCCUGGGCUAACACUGACGCUCAGGCACGAAAGCGUGGGGAGCAACAGG